AGCGGCGGACGGGUGAGUAACGCGUGGGUAACCUGCCUCAUACAGGGGGAUAACAGUUGGAAACGGCUGCUAAUACCGCAUAAGCGCACAGUACCGCAUGGUACCGUGUGAAAAACUCCGGUGGUAUGAGAUGGACCCGUGUCUGAUUAGCUAGUCGGUGGGGUAACGGCCUACCAAGGCGACGAUCAGUAGCCGACCUGAGAGGGUGACCGGCCACAUUGGGACUGAGACACGGCCCAA
rnacentral:rRNA from 1 species